GGACAGAAGAGCAAGCCCCUGUGGGGAGCAUCUCUGGUAGUUUGGAUGACCUGUCCUCUGCCAUUCUCACUCUGCCAAAAGCGGCAGAAGAACAACCCACAAGCUACAGCUCAUUGCUUGACUUCCUGAAGAACUUCUGAGAACAAGCUGUCACAGAUUUUGUCUACAUGCAUCCAGAUGGGGCUUUCCCAGGGAAGUGCUGGCCCCACUGCUCUGUGGAUGAAGAAGAAGAGAAUUCCUCUCAAGUUAAGUGAGAAUUACCAGCUUCAGAUGAACACUCCUUAAAUGAUUGGCGUGAUUGGUGUGCCUAUGUGCAGGCUGAAGAACAAUCUGACCCAGUUUUAAGGAAGAACCACAGCACCGCCAUACCUCAAAACAAUGGAGUAGAAACGGAGUAGAAGAUGCAGGAAAAUGGGAAGCAGGAGCCAAGACUUGAGAUUUGGAGCAGGAAGAGCCUGAAGGUCUCACCAUGGGAAAGAAGUGAAGUGGAGGUGUGGACUCCCUCUCUACAGGACUCAAGCAGUUAACCGGCGAUGUGAGCUCCUUUCCUCCUUCACUGCGCCCCUCACCUAACACAAUAAAGUGUUAAAGCUUACAGCACUAUCGGCAGAAUGGUCCUAAGGAGGUCAACAGACAGCUGAAAGGUCAUUUGAGUACAGCCGUGGGACAGAAGUCAUCUGAAUUUAAAUUACCAAUGAGGCCACAGCACAGCUUUGUGGUGUUUUUUGUUUGUUUGUUCAAAUAUAUUUUCAUCAUUUGCUGUUGCUUUGUUUAGUUUUUGAGAAAGGAUCUUACUUUGUAG
rnacentral:lncRNA from 1 species